UCAGCAGCCGCGGUAAUACGUAGGGGGCGAGCGUUGUCCGAAUUUAUUGGGCGUAAAGCGCGUGUAGGCGGCUCUUUAAGUCAGGUGUGAAAUCCUGUGGCUCAACCACAGAACUGCAUUUGAUACUGGAGGGCUUGAGUAUGGGAGAGGAAAGUGGAAUUCCUGGUGUAGCGGUGAAAUGCGUAGAUAUCAGGAGGAACACCCGUGGCGAAGGCGGCUUUCUGGCCCAUCACUGACGCUGAGACGCGAAAGCUAGGGGAGCGAACGGGAUUAGAUACCCCGGUAGUCCUAGCCGUAAACGAUGGAUACUAGGUGUAAGUGGUAUCGACCCCACUUGUGCCGUAGCUAACGCAUUAAGUAUCCCGCCUGGGGAGUACGGCCGCAAGGUUGAAACUUAAAGGAAUUGACGGGGGCCCGCACAAGU
rnacentral:rRNA from 1 species